rnacentral:tRNA from 1 species
UGUCGAUUGGUGUAAUGGUAGCACACGAGAUUCUGGUUCUUGUUGUGGAGGUUCGAGCCCUUCAUCGACAG